rnacentral:lncRNA from 1 species
GAAGAUUCAUUUGUUUGAAUGUUUGCUGAUGGUGCCAUUUCGCCUUAGCAUUGGACAGGUUCAGAGGAGGCAACUGCAAUGCCGCAAUGGAUCUCUGCAUACGACGAAAGCUACACCUGCGAGCUGCUUCCUCUUCCUCCUGUAAAUUUGUUAUCGAUUCGGUGUGUUCGAUAAACCAUACCUUUGAGAACCUCAUUCUUAAAUGGGAUUAAAUACGGAUAACUGCUGAUUCAGAUGGAAAAAUUUAUAGCCACGGUUAGUAUUAUGGUCGUUAGAUGGUGUCAAACUCACGAUAUAGGCCGCAUAGUUGGUUUGCGAGUGACACGGGACUUGGGACGAUUCGCGAGUCGGCUUGGUAAAAUCAGUAGACUCAUCUAUGGCGACUUUAGCUUGCAGCGUUAGUUUAGAUAGGAGAUAUAUUGAUAGCUAAUUAUCCGAUACAUUACUGUCACAUAUAAAAGCUCGUCUUUAACAUAGAGUAAGGAGAGAUGACUAUUCACAUUCAUACUCAUAUAUCUCGGAUUAAUAACUUAAGCAUCGGAAAGAUCAAAUCGGGAAACCUCGAUCUCAGUCUUCAUGCAGGUGACACAUCGAGAGCACGAUGUUUUCACCUAGGAGAUACUUCAAACAAUCCUAUGCAUACGAGUCUAGACCAUGUCGGGUUGACAAAGACAUCAAUGAUAUUUUUUCCUAACACCAUAACACUAGAGGGCAUGAUGUUGCAGGAACAUCCACAUGCCAAAUGCUCUAAUGAGGAAGCCUUACCUCUAGCCUAUAACACUUUUACUCAGGGGGCAAUUGUAACCCUUUCCACAUGUGAAUAUGUUCAUUUUGGUCUAGAUGCCGGCGAGGUACUAUCAUAUGUUCAAUAACCAAAGUUCCUGAGACGAACUCGAGCCACUUGCUCGUCUCGACCAAGGUGUUUCUAAAUCUCACCCAUUAGGUACAAACGCUCGUGGGCAUAUUGUAGGUCAUUGUAGGCUAUCGUCCCUCUCCUACCUCAGCUAGCCCGAUAAGCAAUGCUACCAUCUCAACCAUGGUUGACACUUCAAGUACCACUAGCACUGGCAUUGGCACUCGUCAGAAUCCCCCUAACUGAUGCAAUGCCAACAUCUCAGGAUCACCCAAGGUUCAUGAAAUUGCCAACCGAAGGAGUGCCCUGCUCCCCAAGAUGGAGUUCAACACACCACCGCUCUGCUUUGCUUGAAUAUAAAACAUAAUCGAUGGAAUCAAUGGAUGACUACUUGAGGAUCCAAUUUAGGCAAAUGGACCAACACCUAGACGAGAUGUGGUGGGAGUUUCAACGGUCUAGGGGGAGAAUCUGGUCGAUCCCACCUCGGGUCGACCCCCAUUCAUCCAGAACAUCCAAGAGGAAUCAAUUUCGACCAACUUUUGCACACUUAAAUGUAUCAAUACGACACCUCGGAUGCUUUGAUGUGUCGCAUGUUCCCAGUGAUACCGAGAGGCCCAGCAUGGGAGUGGUACACUUAUUUAAAGCCACUCUUGGUCGGCUCCUUCGCUCUACUUGCAAAGGAGUUCGAACUCUACUUCCUCAAAAAUAUAUGUCUGAGGCCAUUAGCGAUAAUGUUACUUGGACUCAAGCAAAGGAAAGAAGAGACAUUCUCCAACUUUAUCACUUAGUUCACCAACGAAAUCCGAGGUGUGCAAGGAGUUCAUCCAUCACUCAUGAUUCAAGUUUUCAUGAUAAGGCUCAGGCCCUCUCGCCUUUUCUAAACUUUAGUAGGGAGGUCAUCGACAAAUGUACUUAAGGUCCUCUAGAGGGCCAACCAAUAAAUAGCCAUUAAGGUGAUAGUAAUAAGAAUGAGGAGACGCAUAAGAGGCUAUAAUAGGAGCAACCACCAUUGGUUCCAACCUCGAGGUCACCUCAAUGAAGAAAACAAGAUCGACCCAAGUUAACCCCCCUUAAUAUGAUGAGAAUCCAGGUCUUCUUACAGAUAAAAAAAAAAGAUUCUUGAAGGACCUUCAACUAAUGAAGACACCGUUAGAAAGGAGGGACAAAUCUAAAUAUUGUCACUUCCACCAUGACUAGAGCUAUGACACGAAUGACCGUCGUGAUUUAAAAUAACAAAUCAAGGAGCUCAUUCAUCGAGGGCACCUCGAGAGAUUCGUCUAAAGACCUUGGGAACUUUCGCCCCCACCUCAAGGCUCGGUAAAGAGGUGGAUCGAUGUUAUCCUUAGGGGACCUACCUCAAGAGGGGACAAUACUUUGAGUCACAAAGCUUAUGACUGAGCCACCAUCAAGAAGUGCUUGAGGUCCGAAGAUAACUCAGAAAUAACCUUCAAGGAUGAGGAGAUGGAGUAUCUCGACUCAAACCAUGAUGACACCCUGGUGGUCUCCAUAAGAAUAAUUAAUGCCCAAGUAAAGAGGGACAUGAUCGAUAUAGAUAGCUCUACCGAUAUCCUCUACUUUGAUGCUUUUUAAAAACUUGUGCUAUCAGCUAAUGAUCUCACUCCUAUGACUUCUUCGUUGAUGGGGUUCAUGCGUGACUCCAUCUCCCCUCUCAAGAUUAUGAGCUUGCACAUUACGUUCGGUGAUGAACUCUACUCCAAAACAAUAAUGACUAAGUUUAUGGUGGUUGGCAUCUCCUCGAAGUGCAAUGUGAUCAUAGGUUGACUCACAUUUAAUAAGUUGAGGGCUGUAGUGUCGACCUAUCACAUGGUGAUGAAGUUCCCAACAAAUGCUAUCUAACGGUCAUUAGGGAGCUGAAGAGUGAUCCGAAGGAGUCUCACUAGUGCUAUCUAACGGUAGUCUCCUUAUUGAAAAAGGCUCGGCCUAAGGUAUCAUUGUUGGACCAUUGAGAUUUCAUUAAGCCCCUUCCAUAUUCGAAGCUAAUGGAGUUACUAGUUGAGGAACCUUUAGACAAGGUCUGUCUUGAUCUGGUCGUCAAGGUUAAGGCGACACUCCCUCAAUAGAAGUGAGUGUAGCUCGUAAACUUUCCCAAGGAAAACAUCGAUGUUUCCGUAUGGUCAUCGAGAGACAUGCUAGGAAUAGACCCCGACAUGGCCUAGCACCACCUGAACAUCUCCCUCGAGGUCGAACCUGUGAAGCAAAUGCCUCGUAAGUUCUUGUAUGCUAGUAGACGAUUUAGCGAGGUGAACAAGUUGUUAGGGGCAAGGUUUAUUACCAAAGUGUAGUACCUCCAAUGGCUUACUAAUGUUGUAAUGGUUAAAAAAUCUAAUGAAAAUCGAAGAAUGUGUAUUGAUUACAUUGAUCUCAACAAAACAUGUCCAAAGCAUAGCUACCCUCUUCCUUGGAUUAAUUAGUUUGUUAAUGCUAUGUUGUACCAUAAGCUCCUUAUCUAUAUGGAUGUGUUUUUGGGAUAUAACCAAAUAAGGAUGGUGCCUCAGAACAUACUUUCUUUAUCACGAACCGAGGUAUAUAUUAUUACAGAGUUAUGCCAUUUGGAUUAAAAAAAUAUAGGGGCAACAAAUCAAAUGACAAUGAAUAAAAUAUUAAAGCAUUAGAUCGGGAGGAACAUUAAGGUGUAUGUGGACAAUAUGAUAGUCAAAAGCAGAAUAACUAACUCGCAUCUACCGGACUUGGCCAUGACAUUUUCAAGUUUUGAUGAGAUAUAACAUGCGCCUCAACCCGUCUAAGUGUGCUUUCGAAGUUAGUCCGAGAAAAUUUCUCGGAUUUAUUGUUCAUUAGAGAGGAAUAAAGUACAAACCCCUAAAAGGUCCAUGCCACAUUGAAGAUGCAUCCAUCUCGGUUGGUGAAGGAAGUGCAAUAAGUAACAUGAUGAAUAGUGGCGCUUAGCCGGUUCCUAUGCUAGUUUGACGACAAGUACUUGCCAUUCUUUCGGGCAUUGCAUCCAAAAGAUUUCCUAUGGAUCGAGAAGUGCCAAGAGACAUUUGAGAAGCUAAAGCACCACCUCGCCAAGUUACCAUAGCUCUCCUUCGUUCCGGGCAAAGUACUCAACCUCUAUUUCACUACCACCAAGCAGGCUAUUAGCUAAAUAUUAGUGUGGGAUGAUUCGGGAGUCCAAAGACCCAUUUAUUAUGUCAGACAUGUACUAAGCAAAGUCGAGGAGCAAUAGACCCCAUUGAGAGGUGGACUUUUACACUAGUAUUAGUGACAAGGAAGCUUUGUCCAUAUUUCCAAAUGUAUCCCAUACAAGUGAUCACCAACCAACCAUUUAGGUAGAUCCUUUCGUGAUUUGAUGUCUUGGGCAAUCCUAAGGUGGUUGAUAGAGCUAGGUGAGUUUGACAUCCGAUAUUUUCUGGGGUUGCCAUUAAGGCUCAAGUAUUGACAAAUUUUAUAUCAAAGUUGACUCCCUCACCCAAGGUCAAAGUUGAUGAGCACAUCCCCUUGGCACAAACCCUAUUCAUUGAUGGUUCCACCACAUCAAAAAGGGAGUGCUGAACUUAUCAUGAAAGGUCUAGACAAGCAAGUGCAUAAAUAAGCUCUACGAUUCGAGUUCAAAAUAUCCAAUAACGAAACCAAAUAUGAAAAAUGUUCUCUUAGGGCUCCAACUCGCUCGAGAGCUCCAAGUGCAAGACUUGAUGGUGUUUAUUGACUCGCAACUGGUUAUGAGAGAAUUUGACAAGAGCUUCGAAGCCUAAGAUGGGACCAUGGUGAAAUACCUUACCAAGGUGCCAUAGUUUGCUCGAAGCUUCUCCUGACUUAACAUGUUGCGGGUACCUUAUGUAGAAAAUACACAAGCUAUCGCACUAGCCAGGUUAGCCUCCACCCAAGCUUUAAGGAAAGACUAGUAUAUAGUCGAUAUGUUGCCGACUCGAACUAUUGAAGUGUAAGGAAAUCUAAGGGUAACAUCACUUGCGUAGUAGAAGAAUAGAAAAUAAAAACCCAAAAUUUUUAAAAAAGGUGUUCGUCACCGUGCGAAGAUUGGUGCAUAAAAUCUGCGAAACUGAAAAUCACACGUGAGAUAAUUAUGUUACCUAGGGAGAUCGUAUAUCCCUAAAUCCCUACAGAUCUAUAGGAGAAGAUGAAAGAGGUCAAGUGUCCUCCUCUCUAGUGGUGAUCCACAUAAUAGGGCUACGAUGACGCUCCUCAAAUCACUGCCUAAAUCUCCAUACCUCCUAUCUGAGGAGGAGAAAGGGAGAGGAGAAUAUGAGGUGGCAACUAAGAAGCCUAUGUCAUAUGGGUCUUUGGUUCCCUCGUAUUUAUAGAGGCCCCUUAUUAACUCAACCCUAAUGGAUCCUGCCCUAUUGGGUAUUGGAUCUCCAUCAAACUACCCAAGCCUCUUAGAUUAGUGGAUCUCUAUCCAAUAAGAUAUGAGCUCCGACAUAUAUCUCAUAUCCGAACCUCUACUUGUCGCAACGUUUACCAUAUGUGUUUGACCCUCUAGACUCAAUAUUAAGCUAGUUGUGAGUCAUACCUAUCAGAACUCAUUUUGGCUCAGUGAAUUAUUUUCACUUGACUCAUCGACUGCGGAUGUACUAGGCCACUACAUCGUAGUCCCCAGACAAUAUAGGAGAAUUCAAUCCUUUGGACAUAUCUAUCCCUAGUUACCGUAUACCUAUAGUCCCUCAUUCAUCUAAUAUCCCAGAGAUCGUAUACCGGGCAUACUGCUAUUAGACACAUACGAUUUCUUCUCGAGUCUCACUCUAAUCGAAUUCUCCCAGAGAACUCUUUCUCUCAAUCCGAACCACCCUGUCUAGGGAUUUAUCUGAGCAAAAACAUAUGAUAUAUUCCUCUCAUGACACCGAGAGCAGAUGAUCUUCUAUCGACACUCAAUAGUCAUCAUAAGGUUGACCGUCACUCCCGAUGACGGGCUGUGCUAGACCUAGAACUUCUAAACCUAUAAGUCUAGUAUCAAAUAGUGGAGUACUUAUACAAGACAUCCAUGGUGUCUUAAGUCGAAUGAUUAGUUAUACCAUUGGGACAACAAAAUCCUUGCCUAACAAUGAGGUAUCAUUAACUAUUCAACAUUCUGUGAACGAAUCAAUCAGUGAACUCAUUCUCCAAUGAGCACCUGCACUGUAGCCCUAGUGUCCCCACACAAGUAGCUAUGAGACCAACUGCCUCCAGACGGGUAUACAACACACCAAUGUGUUUGGUUAUCUCAAUGUUCCUCUCGAGUAAUCUAUGACCAUAUUUAUUUAGAGUUUGUGUUUAAAGGUGAAUCGAUCUCAUUAUCGUGAUCUCAUCACAAUCCGAUUCUCAUUACAUAUAUAUAUAUAUAUAUAUAUAUAUAUAUAUAUAUAUAUAUAUANNNNNNNNNNNNNNNNNNNNAAAAAGAAUGUGUAUCAUGUCACACGUGUCAUCACUCACGUGAUUGGCUUACAGAGCACCUAUGACUAGCAUGAAAGGUACGACGUGACCAUGGUCGAGGAGGAACCGAGUUGGAUCGACAAGAUCUUAUGCUACAAAAGAGACGAGGCACUCCCUAUUGACCCCGAGGUGGCUUGAAGGGUCAGGCAUCAAUCAUCAAGUAUAGUAUUAUGUAAUUAAUGAUCACUUAUAUCGUAUGUCAUUUUGUCAACCUUGUCUUAGGUGCUUGACAUCGUAUGAAGUCGAGAGGGUGCUCGCUAAGGUACAUAAAGGUAGGGGGCAUAUAGGUGGACGAACCCUUACAUUCAAGGUGCUUUAAUUGGGUUUCUAUUGGCUGACGUUGUGUAAGGACACAAUCACCUAUGUUUGGAGGUGCCACCAAUGUCAAAAGUUUGCUUGGGUAUCACACUAACUGACGGUCGCUUUGAGCCCGAUUGAUUGCGCAUAACCCAUUGCCUAGUGGGGCAUGGACAUCUUGGGACCCUUUCCAUUAGCUUCUAAUCAGAGGAGGUUUCUCAUCAUGGGAAUAGACUACUUCACGAAAUGGGUGAAGGUUGAGCCGUUAGCUUCAAUCACCAAGAAGCAAGUCAAGGGAUUUGUAUAGAGAAACAUCGUUACCCGCUUCAGAAUCCCUAGGGCCGUCAUCACUGAUUAUGGGACUUAGUUCUAUAAUGCAAAAUUCAAAGAGUUUUGCAAGUCUUACGGGAUUCAGUUAAGGUUUAGCUCAAUAUUUUAUCCUUAAACUAACGAUCUCAUUGAGGAUAUCAAUCGAGCUAUCCUCGAAGGAUUGAAGAAGAGGGUUGUCGAAGUGCAGGGUGCUAGUCAUAAGUGUCCUACAAGCAAAUCACAUGAGUAAUAACACGUAUGACAUGAUAUGCACUCUUUUUGCUUAUUAUAUUAUUUGACAUUUUAUCAAUAUAUAUAUAUAUAUAUAUAUAUAUAUAUAUAUAUAUAUAUAUAUAUAUAUAUGAGUGUGUGUGUAGUGAUAUCGAUUGAUCUAUGCAAUGAGAAUCGGAUCAUGAUGAGAUCACAAUAAUAAGACCGAUUCACCUUUAAACAUAUCAUAAAUAAUACCUGUCAUACGUUACUCGAGAGGGACAUCGAAAUAACCGGACAGACAAGUGUACUGUAUACCUAUCCAUAUGAUAGAGGCGAUUGGUCUCAUAACUACUCAUGUGGGGAUACUAAGGAUACAAUGCUGAUGCUCAUUGGAGAAUGAGUUUGAUCUGCUCACGAAAUGCUGUAUGAUUGAUGAUGCCUUAUUAUCAGACAACGAUUCUAUCAUCCCAGUGGUGUAUCUGGUCCUUAGACUUGAGACACCAAAGAUGUCCUAUAUGAGUACUCCACUCUUUGACACCAGACUUAUAGGUCUGGAAGUUCCAGGUAUACUAACACAACCAAUCAUCGGGAGUGAUAACCAAUCUUAUGAGGGCUAUUGAGUGUCGAUAGAUGAUCAUCAUCUCUCGGUGUCAUGAGAGGAAUAUUCCAUAUGUUCUUGCUUAAGCAAAUCCCUGGCCAGAGUCAUUCUGAUUAAGAGAGAAAGAGUUCUCUGGGAGAAUCCAAUUAAAGCGAGACUCAAGUAGAAACCGUAUGUGCUUGACAACACUAUGCCCGGUAUAUGAUCUCUACGAUAUUAGAUGGAUGAGAGACUAUAGAUACAUGGUAACUCUUGUAUCGUCUAGGGACUACGGCGUAGUGGCCUAGUACAUUUGUAGUCGAUGAGUCGAGUGAAUUAUUAUGAAGAUAAAAAUUUAUUGAGCCAUAAUAAGUUCUGACAGGUAUGACUCAUGGCUAGCCCGAUAUUGGGUAUAGAGGGUCACACACAUAUGGUCGGUGUUACGACGAGUAGAGGUUCAUAUAUGAGAUAUCCGACGGAGCUCCUAUCUUGUUGGAUAUCCAAUAAGCCUCUGAAUAUGAAUGAGAUCUAAUAAAAGUCAAUAAGAGGUUAUUAGGUAGAGACCUAUUAAUCUAAUAGCUUUGAGUCAAUAAGUCAUGUCGGGCAGGUGGACCCAUAUGUCAGCUGCCACGUCAUAAGCUAGCAUGGACCGCAGUGUGCUCUUUCUUUCAUCGUGCUCACCAACCACGAACGUCAUCCGACACUCCUUCGACCCAACACACGUGAAGGAGGAGUGCUGCAUGCUGGGCAUGGGAGCCCUAUGGCACUAGACUCUCGACACCACGUCAUAUAUGUGGACGACAUCAGUGAAGGCCCAGGAGUGGAUCGCGAUCCAAUUCGUCGACCAUCGCUAACUUCCUCUCGAUGAUGGCCAGCCAGCCUGCAGGAAAGCAAGAGGCCAUGAGAGCGAAGGGAGAUCAAUGGCAAUAAGGUCUAGGCACCGAUAAUGGACUCGAAGAGUGAAAGAUAGAAAACUGAAGAGAAUCGAGAGGAUUGCUGUUGGGUAGAGAGAGGCUACGAUUGGGCCAAGCGAGACCGACAGACUUGCUGAGGGUGGAAGAAGAGCGACUCGAUGGGAUACUAUCAUUGGUAAAAUUGAUGAUUUAUGAAAUGAUUAUUUUGUCCUUUGAUAAGAUUAAUAAUUCUACGGUGUAAUUUAUGAAAUAAGAGGAGAGAACAACUCGAUGGGUAUAAAGUAAGUAAAAGAACCGACGGAAAUCGAGGCGUCGUGCGGCGCGCAGUAGGCGACGCGAUCCCUACAGGUACCGCUGCCGACGACAUCGUCGGCCGACCACUCUCUACUGCUGCUGCAGGCCGCCACCUCGCCGCU